GUUUUCUCUUGUAGAUAAAAAAAAAAAAUUGAUUCUAUGUCAAACUGAAUCAUUUUUUGAGAAAGAAAUCAACGACAAUCGAUGCAAAAUAGGGAUGAUGUCCACAUCUCGAUCCAAGAAAAAUUACUAAGCAAUCGGAUAAUGAAAAGAAAUAAUAAUGAAAAACACAAGUGAAUAGUUACAAACUAGAUCACUUGGAGUGCGAGGUCCCUUUACCCUCUCUUCGUGGUGCACUUGUGUAUCUGAAUGUCUUAAUUUGCUUAGCUGCCUCUUUCUUCUUUCCAUCCUGUGACAGAAAUCGAUCAUAGUUGAAAAGAUCGAUAGAUGGAUGCCCAACAGCCACCCAUUCUUUAGUAAGAACGAUAGAGGCUGCCAUCAUUUUUCCCAUAUGUGUUCAUGUCCUUAAUAUGCUCUAAAGAAUCCUUGAAUCACUCUAAGGCAUCAAUUCAAGCACGGGCUAGCGAAGAGCGCAAUUAUCAAUCUCCUUUUUCCUCUUCACUGACUCGAGACUUCUGCUCAUUGAUCCAUGACUCCAUCUCCUUAUAACGAGCUUCCAUAGCAUCGAGAGACUUCUUCAAGGUUGAAUUUUUUUCCUUGAAGUUGCUCGCUUCCUUGAUCUUGUCGUCCUCGAGAGCCUUCAACUCAAACGUGACUUACUCUGACAGGUAAAGCUUGCAUGAUCAAGAAAAGUAAAUGAAGAUAUGCACGGUAAGAAAAUAAAAGCCUACCUAUAAGUUGACUGGUUCUCAAUAUCAACAUCUUCCUCAUUGUCAAAACUUGAGAUAGGAGAGAUGCAAGAAGUGGUAGGGGUCAACUGUUGUAUUUGAGAGUUCAAGAGUCCCAGGCUCACGUGACUAUUGAAAAGGUACAUUUGGGAAACUCUCCAAUAAGUAGUGAAAGGAAAUUCGCCUUCGGAAAGUAGAACGAAGAAUAAUCGAGACUUCCAUCCACUAUUAGAAUUUCUAUACUUAGGAAUACUAAGAGAAACCCUAAUGGGUAAAUAGACAAAUGCGUUAUAAUGGAGUAAGUUGUGUAAUUAAAAUAUGCACCUGAAUAGUCGAUGGAAGGCACCAUCUUUUCACUAAGGCAAAGUACAAAAAGUAUAGCGCUUUCCUCUAGGCAUCGGGAUUUAUUUGACUGGGGGUAAGAUGGAAUUGAUUAAAGAUUGAAAUGAAGAAAGCAUAAAGAGAAAACCUCAAACCUCCAUCAAACUAAUCUUUAUACAUAGCGAUUUCGCUAAGAUUUGAGCUGGGAAGUUCUUCCUUAGACCUGUAGGUUCUAUAUAUAUAAUCGUCAACGCGAGUAUACCUAUCAAGUAACUGAUCCAAUUUGGUUGGAUGGUUGUAUGAGCUAGGUCCCUUUAGAAUAUCAAGAAUUACUACCUGACACGUCCGAUCUUGUCCAAUUUCAAAGUUAAGAUUUGGAGAUUUGAAAGAACCAAUGUGAUUUUUGAGAGAAAUGGAACAAAAUGGCCGGUCAUGAAAAUGGACUGGAUCAUCACCCUGAGGGGUUUGAUCAAUCCCCUGGAGAGAGGCUGGUCGGUCGACUAGGGUGCCUACCGGUCAAUCCAUCGAAAGAUGGGUCAGUCGACUCCUUUCCUUUCCUCUCCUACUAUCAUUUUCAAUUUUGUUUGAUAUGGAAGGAGAUGAAUCUAAAAUUUCUUGACUAGAAGAUGAUGAAGACAAUAAUCACGUUAUACAUUUAGAUUGAAAGGAUCUACAAACUAAUUGAAUUUCAAGAAAAGUAAAAGUGGAAAAGGAAGUUACUUUAGGUAUAAAGAAAGUGGAAGAUGGACUUAGGGUUCGCAAAAAGGAAAUCUGAAGAAAAAUGAGAUUAUCCUCCCUUUAUAAGGAAUUUUUUUUGGAUACAUAUGAUACAAGUCGAUGAAUUAUAUGAUUUUAGUAAUUACUUGUAAAUCUGAGUACGACCACCAAGUAAUUUAAGAAAAUAAACCUCAGUUUCCUUGAAGAAAUAUAUCGUAUUAAUCAGUACGAAAUGUGAUUAGUUGAAUACCUUCAAAAUAAAGACAUUACAAGAAAAGAACUCUUCAAUAUAUCGCUUAUUCAUCGAAUCAAGGUAUAAGGCAUAAGAGAACCCUCUGUUUCUUGCUCUGUUUAACAAUUUCAAAACCUACAAAACUCGUUGAUUAGACCAAAGAUAAUGCAAUAAAAUCUUUUACAAAGCAAUAAAACGUCAAAAAAGUGAAAGAGGAAACUACGAGAUUAUUAUGAUCAUCCAGCAUAUAUUUUAAUGGAGCAUAAUUUGUAAUUCUUUUGCACCUCCAACCCCAGCUCGAGGAGAAUGAUGAAAUUCAUCCUCAGCAUAUAGGUUCAAGGGUGUUGUACCCUCCUGUUGGGAAAUAUUCCAAGAUGAUUACUCAAAUGCUACAUAAUGUUAUAAAUGAAGAAAAAAAGGGCAUAACAAAGUGAAAGAAAUAAAGAAAAAGAAGAGAAUUAACGUUAAAAUAGUUCCCAACCAGGAAUGCAAACAUGAGGAAUGUGUAUUCAGAAGUACGGGCCAAACCCAAUAGAUCCAACUCUCAAGCAACUAUAUUUUCAUACUUUGUAAUCUUUUU
rnacentral:lncRNA from 1 species